rnacentral:rRNA from 1 species
AAUAUUGCGCAAUGGGGGGAACCCUGACGCAGCAACGCCGCGUGAUCGAGUAAGGCCUUCUGGUCGUAAAGCUCUUUCUAGAGGGAUGAUAGUGACAGUACCUCUGGACGAAGCCCCGGCUAACUACGUGCCAUCAGCCGAGGUAAUACGUAGGGGGCAAGCGUUGUCCGGAUUUACUGGGCGUAAAGGGCGCGUAGGCGGUAGCAUAAGUCAGAUGUGAAAGUCCAGGGCUCAACCGUGGAAUUGCAUUUGAAACUGUACUACUUGAGUGCAGGAGAGGAGAGCGGAAUUCCUAGUGUAGCGGUGAAAUGCGUAGAGAUUAGGAAGAACACCAGUGGCGAAGGCGGCUCUCUGGACUGUAACUGACGCUGAGGCGCGAAAGCGUGGGUAGCGAAC